rnacentral:ncRNA from 1 species
GCUGAAAUGCGGGUUGUAGUUGAUGAACGUGAAACCGCGGGCCUGAUCAAUGCAGUGAAACAGCGGGUUCCAGUCGAAAAAAGCCAGCAUGGCCGAUGGCAUGCUGUUGGCAACAAACAUCUUGCCGGACGCAACCAUAUUGGCGCGGCUG